rnacentral:rRNA from 1 species
GACGAACGCUGGCGGCGUGCUUAACACAUGCAAGUCGAACGGAAAGGCCCUGCUUUUGUGGGGUGCUCGAGUGGCGAAAGGGUGAGUAACACGUGAGUAACCUGCCCUUGACUUUGGGAUAACUUCAGGAAACUGGGGCUAAUACCGGAUAGGAGCUCCUGCUGCAUGGGGGGGGUUGGAAAGUUUCGGCGGGUGGGGAUGGACUCGCGGCUUAUCAGCUUGUUGGUGGGGUAGUGGCUUACCAAGGCUUUGACGGGUAGCCGGCCUGAGAGGGUGACCGGCCACAUUGGGACUGAGAUACGGCCCAGACUCCUACGGGAGGCAGCAGUGGGGAAUAUUGCACAAUGGGCGGAAGCCUGAUGCAGCAACGCCGCGUGCGGGAUGACGGCCUUCGGGUUGUAAACCGCUUUCGCCUGUGACGAAGCGUGAGUGACGGUAAUGGGUAAAGAAGCACCGGCUAACUACGUG